rnacentral:rRNA from 1 species
UACGAAGGGGGCUAGCGUUGUUCGGAAUUACUGGGCGUAAAGCGUACGUAGGCGGAUUGUUAAGUGAGGGGUGAAAUCCCGAGGCUCAACCUCGGAACUGCCUUUCAUACUGGCAAUCUUGAGUCCGGGAGAGGUGAGUGGAACUCCUAGUGUAGAGGUGAAAUUCGUAGAUAUUAGGAAGAACACCAGUGGCGAAGGCGGCUCACUGGCCCGGAACUGACGCUGAGGUACGAAAGCGUGGGGAGCGAACAGG